UACGUAGGGUGCGAGCGUUGUCCGGAAUUAUUGGGCGUAAAGGGCUCGUAGGCGGUUUGUCGCGUCGGGAGUGAAAACUCAGGGCUUAACCCUGAGCCUGCUUCCGAUACGGGCAGACUAGAGGUAUGCAGGGGAGAGCGGAAUUCCUGGUGUAGCGGUGAAAUGCGCAGAUAUCAGGAGGAACACCGGUGGCGAAGGCGGGUCUCUGGGCCGAUACUGACGCUGAGGAGCGAAAGCGUGGGGAGCGAACAGG
rnacentral:rRNA from 1 species